rnacentral:lncRNA from 1 species
AACCAGGUAAACAAUUUUAGAUUUUUGGGUUUAUGCACAAAAUUGGUAUUAUGUUUAGAUUUUGUUGUGAUGAAGAAUUUGAUAAUCACGAAGCAGAAAAACAGAGUUGGAGAGCAUUAUUUUAGGUGGUUGGACAAGGAGACAUGUACAAGAGGGAAGAAUGUGGUGCUUGGUCUGCUUAGAAGAAUAAGAAUGAUGGAGACUGAAAUGAGGGAGACAGAAGAGAGAAAAAAUGUUGUGGUCACACUUCAAUCCUUAGAAGCUCGAAACUUGGAAAUGGAGGGCAUAAUUGAAGAAAAUAAGAAGGAGUUGGAUUAUGCAGUCAGAGACAACAGAAGGUUUAGACUUUUGCUGGAAGACAAUAUGAUGAGGCAUCGACAAAGAGAAUGUAGGAUGAGUAUGGGUGCUUGUGUUUUAUUUAUGGCCA